GACGAACGCUGGCGGCGUGCUUAACACAUGCAAGUCGAACGCGGAAGCCCUUUCGGGGGUGGAUGAGUGGCGAACGGGUGAGUAACACGUGGGUAAUCUGCCCUGUACUUCGGGAUAAGCCUUGGAAACGGGGUCUAAUACCGGAUAGGACCUGUCCUCGCAUGGGGGUGGGUGGAAAGUUCCGGCGGUAUGGGAUGAGCCCGCGGCCUAUCAGCUUGUUGGUGGGGUAGUGGCCUACCAAGGCGACGACGGGUAGCCGGCCUGAGAGGGUGACCGGUCUCACUGGGACUGAGACACGGCCCAGACUCCUACGGGAGGCAGCAGUGGGGAAUCUUGCGCAAUGGGCGAAAGCCUGACGCAGCAACGCCGCGUGGGGGAUGACGGCCUUCGGGUUGUAAACCUCUUUCGACAUCGACGAAGGGGCCCUGUUGUGGGGUUUUGACGGUAGGUGUAGAAGAAGCACCGGCUAACUACGUGCCAGCCGCCGCAGUAA
rnacentral:rRNA from 1 species